UAGUUUGAAAGGGUAAUUUAUUUCAUUGUGAGAUUAUUCUACUUUUCUUCGAAGGAUUCUAUUCUUUCUUGCAACCAAUAUAACGUUAAUUAUU
rnacentral:ribozyme from 1 species